AAGUCGUAACAAGGUUUCCGUAGGUGAACCUGCGGAAGGAUCAUUACCAAAUCCAAAUACCCAAACCCCAUGUGAACUAUUGUAUAGUCUGUCUUUGGGAGAAAAGCAUCCAAGAAAAAUUAGCUUUUAUUAGCUCUUUUUUCUUGGAUUUUUCUCCCAAUAGAGUCCGGCGCAACUUUAUUGUUGUGUCCAGAUUCGAAACCCUAAACCACUUGAUUUUUCUGUUGGAAUUUUCUUUUUAUAAUUUUAAAUAAAAGACAACUUUUAACGGCGGAUCUCUUGGCUCGU
rnacentral:misc_RNA from 1 species